AGGGAAUCUUCCGCAAUGGACGAAAGUCUGACGGAGCAACGCCGCGUGAGUGAUGAAGGUUUUCGGAUCGUAAAGCUCUGUUGCCAGGGGAGAACGUCCGUUAGAGUAACUGCUAACGGAGUGACGGUACCUGAGAAGAAAGCCCCGGCUAACUACGUGCCAGCAGCCGCGGUAAUACGUAGGGGGCGAGCGUUGUCCGGAAUUAUUGGGCGUAAAGCGCGCGCAGGCGGCUGUUUAAGUCUGGUGGUGAAUCCUGGGGCUCAACCCCGGGUCGCACUGGAAACUGGACAGCUUGAGUGCAGAAGGGGAGAGUGGAAUUCCACGUGUAGCGGUGAAAUGCGUAGAGAUGUGGAGGAACACCAGUGGCGAAGGCGGCUCUCUGGUCUGUAACUGACGCUGAGGCGCGAAAGCGUGGGGAGCAAAC
rnacentral:rRNA from 1 species